GUGCUCACUUUGGCAGCACGUACACUAAAACUGUAACAAGAGCAGAUUGUCACAGCCCCUGUGCGAGGAUGACAUGCUAAUUCACGAAGCCGUCCAUAUUAAA
rnacentral:snRNA from 1 species